rnacentral:tRNA from 1 species
UCCCUGGAGGGUUAGUGGUUAGGCUUCACUGCUCUCACCACCAUGGCCCAGGAUCAAUUCCUGGCCAGCAAA